GACGGAGGGCGCAAGCGUUGUUCGGAAUUACUGGGCGUAAAGCGUGCGCAGGCGGUUUGCUAAGACAGGUGUGAAAUCCCCGGGCUUAACCUGGGAACUGCGCUUGUAACUGGCAAGCUAGAGUGUGGCAGAGGGGGGUGGAAUUCCAGGUGUAGCAGUGAAAUGCGUAGAGAUCUGGAGGAACACCGAUGGCGAAGGCAGCCCCCUGGGCUAACACUGACACUCAUGCACGAAAGCGUGGGGAGCAAACAGG
rnacentral:rRNA from 1 species